AGAGUUUGAUCAUGGCUCAGAUUGAACGCUGGCGGCAGGCCUAACACAUGCAAGUCGAACGGUAACAGGAAGCAGCUUGCUGCUUUGCUGACGAGUGGCGGACGGGUGAGUAAUGUCUGGGAAACUGCCUGAUGGAGGGGGAUAACUACUGGAAACGGUGGCUAAUACCGCAUAACGUCGCAAGACCAAAGAGGGGGACCUUCGGGCCUCUUGCCAUCAGAUGUGCCCAGAUGGGAUUAGCUUGUUGGUGAGGUAACGGCUCACCAAGGCGACGAUCCCUAGCUGGUCUGAGAGGAUGACCAGCCACACUGGAACUGAGACACGGUCCAGACUCCUACGGGAGGCAGCAGUGGGGAAUAUUGCACAAUGGGCGCAAGCCUGAUGCAGCCAUGCCGCGUGUAUGAAGAAGGCCUUCGGGUUGUAAAGUACUUUCAGCGGGGAGGAAGGUGUUGUGGUUAAUAACCGCAGCAAUUGACGUUACCCGCAGAAGAAGCACCGGCUAACUCCGUGCCAGCAGCCGCGGUAAUACGGAGGGUGCAAGCGUUAAUCGGAAUUACUGGGCGUAAAGCGCACGCAGGCGGUCUGUCAAGUCGGAUGUGAAAUCCCCGGGCUCAACCUGGGAACUGCAUUCGAAACUGGCAGGCUUGAGUCUUGUAGAGGGGGGUAGAAUUCCAGGUGUAGCGGUGAAAUGCGUAGAGAUCUGGAGGAAUACCGGUGGCGAAGGCGGCCCCCUGGACAAAGACUGACGCUCAGGUGCGAAAGCGUGGGGAGCAAACAGGAUUAGAUACCCUGGUAGUCCACGCCGUAAACGAUGUCUACUUGGAGGUUGUGCCCUUGAGGCGUGGCUUCCGGAGCUAACGCGUUAAGUAGACCGCCUGGGGAGUACGGCCGCAAGGUUAAAACUCAAAUGAAUUGACGGGGGCCCGCACAAGCGGUGGAGCAUGUGGUUUAAUUCGAUGCAACGCGAAGAACCUUACCUGGUCUUGACAUCCACGGAAGUUUUCAGAGAUGGAUUUGUGCCUUCGGGAACCGUGAGACAGGUGCUGCAUGGCUGUCGUCAGCUCGUGUUGUGAAAUGUUGGGUUAAGUCCCGCAACGAGCGCAACCCUUAUCCUUUGUUGCCAGCGGUCCGGCCGGGAACUCAAAGGAGACUGCCAGUGAUAAACUGGAGGAAGGUGGGGAUGACGUCAAGUCAUCAUGGCCCUUACGACCAGGGCUACACACGUGCUACAAUGGCGCAUACAAAGAGAAGCGACCUCGCGAGAGCAAGCGGACCUCAUAAAGUGCGUCGUAGUCCGGAUUGGAGUCUGCAACUCGACUCCAUGAAGUCGGAAUCGCUAGUAAUCGUGGAUCAGAAUGCCACGGUGAAUACGUUCCCGGGCCUUGUACACACCGCCCGUCACACCAUGGGAGUGGGUUGCAAAAGAAGUAGGUAGCUUAACCUUCGGGAGGGCGCUUACCACUUUGUGAUUCAUGACUGGGGUGAAGUCGUAACAAGGUAACCGUAGGGGAACCUGCGGUUG
rnacentral:rRNA from 1 species